rnacentral:rRNA from 1 species
CCCUUAGAUGUUCUGGGCCGCACGCGCGCUACACUGACGGAGGCAGCGAGCGUGUCCUUCGCCGGCAGUUGCGGGCAAUCUUGCGAGUCUCCGUCGUGCUGGGGAUAGAUGGUUGCAAUUGUCGAUCUUGAACGAGGAAUUCCUAGUAAGCGCGAGUCAUCAGCUCGCGCUGAUUACGUCCCUGCCCUUUGUACACACCGCCCGUCGCUACUACAGAGUGCCCGUGUCCAAGAAACGGUCGGACCUGUGCGGCCUCUCCGGGCGACCGGAGGGCCGUUACGGGGAAGACCCUUUAUUUGACGCGGGUCGAUGAAGUAAAAGUCGUAACA